rnacentral:rRNA from 1 species
CUCUAAUGAGACUGCCGGUGACAAACCGGAGGAAAGUGGGGAUGACAUCAAGUCCUCAUGGCCCUUAUAGGUGGGGCUACACACGUCAUACAAUGGCUGGUACAAAGGGUUGCCAACCCGCGAGGGGGAGCUAAUCCCAUAAAACCAGUCGUAGUCCGGAUCGCAGUCUGCAACUCGACUGCGUGAAGUCGGAAUCGCUAGUAAUCGUGGAUCAGAAUGUCACGGUGAAUACGUUCCCGGGUCUUGUACACACCGCCCGUCACACCAUGGGAGCGGGUUCUGCCAGAAGUAGUUAGCUUAACCGCAAGGAGGGCGAUUACCACGGCAGGGUUCGUGACUGGGGUG